UGGAGUGGGGUUGCGCCUCAAGACGGAUGGUGGAGGUCAGGUACCUACAUAUGCUCUGUCCGGUCACCCAGGUUCUUCUCCCUUCUUCCUCCAGCAGUACUACAGUAGCAUCAAGAGCUACGCUUCUCCACUAUGUCGCCCCUCAUCUUCAAUUUUGAUGCAGAUUUCCCUUUCCCAAUACAAUCCCUUGGCACUUAAUAUAUAUACUCUGGUCGGGCUCCUACUGAUGUUGAUUUCCGCUUUUAAUUUGUUGCAGUUAUUGUCGCCCAAGUGUUUGUGAUUGCUUCUAGCUUAUUGGUUCAACAAAUUUCUGCAGGGUGUUUCUCGGGUUAUUUUUGUUCCUGAAUUCUAAAACUGAGGAUCCCAAUGGCUGCUCAAAGGUUAGUUUAGUCGAAUUUCAUAUUUUAUUCCAUAGUCAGUGUGUUCAUACGAUUGCUUACUUUCCAUUUUUAUCUGUUCGUAAAUAUUCAUGACAUGCUACUGUCCACUAUUAUUUUCGCUAUAUAUAUGCAUGAUGCAUCAGGUUAUUUAGGACGGUAGAUCCUUAGAUGCAUGCAUAAUCUUGUUGUACACAGUCUUAGUUUGUUCCUAUAUGAAAAAUGACAUAUAUAAUGUCUGUACAGUUCUUUGAAAGAAGAAAGGAUUGUUGAAUGUUUGGUGCUUCCAGUAUGUGCCUGAUUGUGGAGGAGAUGUUGGAGAUGGGGAUGUGGCUUCUCCUACUUCAGAAUGUAG
rnacentral:lncRNA from 1 species